GAAAUACCGAGCUGGAACGUUCUGUGUAUGUUGCCUGACUUUACGUGAAAAAGAGGGAAUUACAAUUGUGUUGAACCUUUUUUCACUCAGAAGGAGGUGAUUCCCCAGGGGAAGAAGGCAAGAGCCUUCGUUGUCCCAAUGCUGUGUACUUACAGAG
rnacentral:lncRNA from 1 species